GUGUCUGUUGUGUACAUUGUGUGUUGUGUUACAUUGUGUUACAUUGUGUUACAUUGUGUUACAUUGUGUUACAUUGUGUUACAUUGCGUUAUGUUGCGUGUUGUGUUGUGUUACAUUGCGUUGUUGUGUUAACCAAUUGUGGUCGUUGUGGUUACAGUUGUGUUGUUGUGUUACAUUGUUGUCGUUGUGUUAACAUGUUGUUUGUGUUACCAUUGUGUUGGUGUUGUUGUGUUACAUUGUGUUGUUGUGUUGUUGUGUUACAUUGUGUUGUUGUGUUGUUGUGUUACAUUGUGUUGUUGUGUUACAUUGUGUUGUUGUGUUGUGUUACAUUGUGUUGUUGUGUUGUGUUACAUUGUGUUAUUGUGUUGUGUUACAUUGUGUUGUGUUGUUGUGUUACAUUGUGUUGUUGUGUUGUUACAUUGUGUUGUUGUGUUACAUUGUGUUGUUGUGUUGUUACAUUGUGUUGUUGUGUUAUUGUGUUGUUGUGUUGUGUUGUGGUGUUGUUGUGUUGUUGUGUUGUUGUGUUGUGUUGUUGUGUUGUUGUGUUGUGUUGUUGUGUUGUUGUGUUGUUGUUCCUGACCCCCCGUCAGACAUCAAGGAGAGCGAGAACAU
rnacentral:lncRNA from 1 species